rnacentral:tRNA from 1 species
GGAGAGGUGGCCGAGUGGCUUAAGGCAGCGGCCUGCUAAGCCGUUGUACCGGUUUCGGUACCGUGGGUUCGAAUCCCACCCUCUCCG